rnacentral:rRNA from 1 species
AUACGGAGGGUCCGAGCGUUAUCCGGAUUAUUGGGUUUAAAGGGAGCGUAGGUGGAUUGUUAAGUCAGUUGUGAAAGUUUGCGGCUCAACCGUAAAAUUGCAGUUGAAACUGGGAGUCUUGAGUACAGUAGAGGUGGGCGGAAUUCGUGGUGUAGCGGUGAAAUGCUUAGAUAUCACGAAGAACUCCGAUUGCGAAGGCAGCUCACUAGACUGUUACUGACACUGAUGCUCGAAAGUGUGGGUAUCAAACAGGAUUAGAUACCCUGGUAGUCCACACAGUAAACGAUGAAUACUCGCUGUUUGCGAUAUACAGUAAGCGGCCAAGCGAAAGCAUUAAGUAUUCCACCUGGGGAGUACGCCGGCAACGGUGAAACUCAAAUGAAUUGACGGGG